rnacentral:rRNA from 1 species
AGAGGGGGCAAGCGUUAUUCGGAAUUAUUGGGCGUAAAGGGCGCGUAGGCGGUCGUUCAAGUGGUAGGUGAAAUCCCUCGGCUCAACCGAGGAGCUGCCCGCCAAACUGAAUGACUUGAGUCCGGGAGAGGUGAGUGGAAUUCCCAGUGUAGCGGUGAAAUGCGUAGAUAUUGGGAGGAACACCAGUGGCGAAGGCGGCUCACUGGACCGGCACUGACGCUGAGGCGCGAAAGCGUGGGGAGCAAACGGGAUUAGAUACCCCGGUAGUCCACGCUGUAAACGAUGAGUGCUUGGUGUAGCGGGUAUCGACCCCUGCUGUGCCGAAGCUAACGCAUUAAGCACUCCGCCUGGGGAGUACGGUCGCAAGGCUG